UACGUAGGUGGCAAGCGUUGUCCGGAUUUACUGGGCGUAAAGAGCGCGCAGGCGGUCGUUCAAGUCGCGUGUGAAAGCCCCCGGCUCAACUGGGGAGGGUCACGCGAUACUGAUUGACUCGAAGGCAGGAGAGGGUAGUGGAAUUCCCGGUGUAGUGGUGAAAUGCGUAGAUAUCGGGAGGAACACCAGUGGCGAAGGCGACUACCUGGCCUGUUUCUUGACGCUGAGGCGCGAAAGCUAGGGGAGCAAACGGG
rnacentral:rRNA from 1 species